GGCCUGUUAGCUCAGUUGGUUAGAGCGUCGUGCUAAUAACGCGAAUGUCGUGGGUUCGAUCCCCACAUGGGACA
rnacentral:tRNA from 1 species